UAAGGAAUUUUCCGCAAUGGGCGCAAGCCUGACGGAGCAACGCCGCGUGGGCGAAGAAGGCCUUCGGGUUGUAAAGCCCUUUUCGGUGGAAAG
rnacentral:rRNA from 1 species